UGGGGAAUAUUGGACAAUGGGCGAAAGCCUGAUCCAGCCAUGCCGCGUGUGUGAAGAAGGUCUUCGGAUUGUAAAGCACUUUAAGUUGGGAGGAAGGGCAGUAAGUUAAUACCUUGCUGUUUUGACGUUACCGACAGAAUAAGCACCGGCUAACUCUGUGCCAGCAGCCGCGGUAAUACAGAGGGUGCAAGCGUUAAUCGGAAUUACUGGGCGUAAAGCGCGCGUAGGUUGUUUGUUAAGUUGGAUGUGAAAGCCCCGGGCUCAACCUGGGAACUGCAUCCAAAACUGGCAGGCUAGAGUACGGUAGAGGGUGGUGGAAUUUCCUGUGUAGCGGUGAAAUGCGUAGAUAUAGGAAGGAACACCAGUGGCGAAGGCGACCACCUGGACUGAUACUGACACUGAGGUGCGAAAGCGUGGGGAGCAAACA
rnacentral:rRNA from 1 species